AUGGCUGAAGAGGUGGGGAGCGGAACAGGACUCCAUCCCCCUGUGCCUGACAUCCUCCUUUUCCCGUCCAAUUCUGUGCCCCAGCCAUUAGUCUUUCCAGUUCGGACAGCCGCCACUCUGGAAGACCACUGGGCCUGUUCCACAUGGCAGCUGGAGAGGUCUCUGCUGUGCCUAAGCACCUCUCACAGCAUUUGCCUGCCUUGCUUUGCUGCAUUGUCCCAACAUGGAGGAAAACCCAGCAGCAGCGAUGUCCUUCAUCAUUCUGCACACACACACCCCUUCUGCUGCGUUGCACUGACUCUUACAGGGUGGAGUCAGUCCCACAGAUACCUCUGGACUCAAAGCAAGAUGAUGCUCUGGCUGUGGGGAAUGUGGCUGACAGUGAAGGAGGCUGCGGCUAUGGGAUCCAGAGCUGGCUUAGGAUUGUUACUCUCAGCAUCCCUACAAGGAAGGGAUGCUAAGGAUCUUCACAAGCUUAGACCUUGAGGUGUAUCACUCUGAUUUUUGCACACCAGGCUCUGCCUACUGCUUCUCCUCACUUUUAGAAGAUGAAGCUAUGUUACCUCCAGCGCUGAAACCAGCUGUCAGAGCUGGCAACACUAUUACCUGACUGAUAAUGUGCAGGCAGCACAUAAACAACUCCCAGAGAAGGUACUUCACACUCGUCCUUUUCCCAGGGCCCCCAAACACAUUGGCACUCCAGAGGAGCACCUCAGAAAGGAAAUAGCCACUUGGGAAAGGCCAACACAACACAGGCCCUCACUCUCAUCCUGGUAGGUGUGAACGAUAGCCAAGAGCGAUUGGGGUGUGCAGCUCAUGGAGAGGAAGCCCACAGUGCUGCAUAAAAAAUGCACUAAAGAUGCACUCAGCAGGCAGCCACCCCUGCCUGACAAGGAAACUCUGGGAGAGAGGGUGCCACGAUUGUGCUUUGUUGGGCUGCUCAGAAACAGGAUGAAGUGGAGAGGGCAAUAUGCUCAUUCCCAACACUGUGGCAGCUCUUCUAUCCAAGGGAGAGAGGCUGGGACCUAGCAAGGAAAACUUGUGGUUUUUUUUGACAAGAUGUUAAAGAGUCCCUAAGAAAAGUCUGUCACAGCUAACUGUGAGGAGGUGGAGGAUUUAGGAGGUGGUAAGUUUGUUCUGACUCUUAAGUAUUAAGGGCCUCUUAAGUAUUCAGAAGAACACUGCUAUCCAGAGGCUAGCAUCCUCUAUCCCAGCACACCAUAUGGCUGCACACACAAAGGGAGCUUCUCUUGGAACCAACCCUCCUGUGCUGCUCCCAGGCCCACUCUCACAUCCCUUUUAUUUCCUGUGCUUUUGCCUUCACCCUACGCUAUCUCCUAUUCAUGCCAAAGUAUCCAUGGCCUAUGCAAGUGGAAGCCUCUCGGUGUCUUUUCUAUGAACCCAGUGCUUUCUAAGCAAUAGAAACCCUAUUUUUGCACUCAACUCUCCUGAGGAAAGCAAGGAGGAUGUCUGAUGUUCUUCUACC
rnacentral:lncRNA from 1 species